rnacentral:rRNA from 1 species
GACGAACGCUGGCGGCGUGCUUAACACAUGCAAGUCGAGCGAGAAACUUCGGUUUCUAGCGGCGGACGGGUGAGUAACACGUGGGCAACCUGCCUCACAAUGGGGGAUAGCCUUCCGAAAGGAAGAUUAAUACCGCAUAACACAAAGGAAACGCAUGUUUCUUUUGCCAAAGAAUUUCGUUGUGAGAUGGGCCCGCGGCGCAUUAGCUUGUUGGUGAGGUAACGGCUCACCAAGGCGACGAUGCGUAGCCGACCUGAGAGGGUGAUCGGCCACAUUGGACCUGGGCCACGGUCCAGACUCCUACGGGAGGCAGCAGUGGGGAAUAUUGCACAAUGGAGGAAACUCUGAUGCAGCAACGCCGCGUGAGUGAUGAAGGUCUUCGGAUUGUAAAGCUCUGUCUUCUGGGACGAUAAUGACGGUACCAGAGGAGGAAGCCACGGCUAACUACGUGCCAGCCGCCGCCGUAA